rnacentral:rRNA from 1 species
AGGACGAACGCUGGCGGCGUGCUUAACACAUGCAAGUCGAGCGGAAAGGCCCUUCGGGGUACUCGAGCGGCGAACGGGUGAGUAACACGUGAGUAAUCUGCCCCUAGCUCUGGGAUAGCUCCGGGAAACCGGGAUUAAUACUGGAUACGACCACCUUAGACAUCUUUUGUGGUGGAAAGAAUUUCGGCUAGGGAUGAGCUCGCGGCCUAUCAGCUUGUGGUGGGGUAACGCCUACCAAGGCGACGACGGGUA